UGAAGAGCCAGAUGUUUCCCUCAGCAACUGCUGGAGACCAAACACAGAGCUGACAGAGAGAAGACCGGACUGACGUCCAUCAGGAGACACAGACACGCCUGUUUGCUAACAUGCUAACCAAAAGAACUUUAAAGGGCAGUGAUGUAUCAGAGUUGUGUUGCUUGCUUGUUUGCCCCCAAGUGGCCAAAAAAAUCAGUUAAUGCAGGUCGAAGGUAAUUUCCGAAGCUCACCAGUCGUCCUCUGACCAGGCGUCGCUUCCUGCCGUGCAGCGUGUCCCGACCGCUCGCCGUCUCGAUUCAUGUCUUCACGUUCGUGUCCACAAACGUUGUGUCACAGUCCUGCAGGUUUUUAUUAAAACAAGCCAUGUAAAAUGCACACAAGCAGAACCUAACUCAUGCAUGGAUGCAACAUUUGCAUGAAGUUGUCAGGGAAUUUGACAUUUUCUGUUUUGCCCAGUUUUUUUUUUUACGUAUGUGUGACUUUCUUUAGCUAAUUUUAGGGAGGCAGGCUCUGGGUGUUGAACCUGUUGGUUGUCAUAGAGAGAGCAGAGGCUCAAUAUAUUUGACACGGAGAAGAGGCGCUGAUUGCAGGGCUCUCCAAGUAGAUGGAGGUCCAUUGAUGUUCCUUCACUCCUUUUAAUUUAUUGUUUUGUCCACUGACACCACGUUAGUUUCCAGUGAUGCAUGAAGAAGCUGCUUUUUUUCUUGAUGUUGAUAAAUGUUUUAAAAAAUACAGGAGGUGGAACUUCGACUCCUGGUUGUCAUAGUGGCAUCUAUUUCAAAUCACCAAUAUAUUUUAAACAGUUGAUGCUGCAUUUCAGUGAUAAUGUGCAUUAGGGAUGUGGCGGUAUCAAAUUCUCGCGCUACGAUUAUUAGUUAGCGUUGUUAUCGUGGUUACUUUACGACUCGGGAUGUUGCUUCUGAUGUUUUUCACAGAUCGAUUCCAGACCGUAGUGGAGUAUUAUACGACCCUGAUCAUAAGACGCAGAAUGUCUUCAAGCAACCACAGAAUAUAACAGUGAAGCUGUUUCACUGGGCCGCUAGCACCGCCCGCCUCUCUGAACACGACCUCUGCAGCAGACAAACGCGCGGUUUUGCCGGUCGGGUGAUGCGAGCAGAGAGUCCCAGAGCUGAAAGGAAACCUGAAGCUGACCCGGGGCCCCCCCCCCCUCGCUGUGACUAGCCAAUAAAGCAGAAAUGCAGUAAAAAUAAAUAUUAAAAAAACCAAACAAA